CUUAGUUCGUGGAGUGAUCUGUCUGCUUAAUUGCGUUUCAAAAUUUAACUUGAGGACCGGGUUUUGGUUUGGCUAGUGGUUCUACGAUGACUGUGAACUGUCAUGUCUUCGGAUGUGCGACUAUUGGUCUAGGAUCACAUGACUUGCCCCUGGGACUCUUUUGAACGCAACGGACGUGAUUGCAACCCCUUGUUGAGAUUAGAGAUAGUCUCGAUAUUCACUGGACAAACUGGCUGCUUUAUGCAGUCUUGUUGAAUGGUGGAUAAACUCGGGGGACUGCUGACUAUAACCAUUUCUCAAAACAGAGGAAGGUUGCGGCAAUAACAGGUCUGUGAUGCCCUCAGAUGUCCCGGGCUGCACACGUGCUACAAUGAGUGGCGCAAUGUGCUAAUGUUUAAGGGAUAAGAGUGUGGUCAGUAGAACGUCGGGAUUUCCCCUGACGUCUCCCCCGCACGAUUAUCAGCCUUCCCUUAACAGGGCGGGCAACCUUUUCAAAAUACUGGUUUGAUGUUAAAGUAUUGAGUCGUUUUUUUUGGAUGGU
rnacentral:rRNA from 1 species